rnacentral:rRNA from 1 species
AUGUGGUGGCUGCCGCCAUGCUUCCACGGCGGCAACGCGGCCAAGGGGGAGGGCCGAGACCAGUUCGACCCCAACCCCGUGUCGCCGGCCGCGGCCUCGGCGCGGUCCAUGAGCACGGCCACGUCGUCCACGAUCACUGCCCCGUCCGGCUCCGACCUCACCGGCUCCAUCAACGCCUCCGACAUGAGCGCCGACUCCAUCCAGCGCCCGCAGCAGUACCCGAGCUUCGCCGACCGGCCCGCCAACCUCCGGGUCUUCACCUACGCCGAGCUGCGGGCCGCCACCCGCAACCUCAGCCGCUCGCUCAUGCUCGGCGAGGGCGGCUUCGGCUGCGUCUACCGGGGCGCCAUCAAGGUCGACGCCGCCGCCGGAGACGGGACGCCUCCCCCGAUGGAGGUCGCCGUCAAGCACCUCAACCGGAACGGCCUUCAGGGGCACAAGGAGUGGCUGACGGAGGUCAACGUCCUGGGCAUCGUGGACCAUCCCAAUCUGGUGAAGCUGGUAGGCUACUGCGCCGACGACGACGAGCGAGGGGCGCAGAGGCUGCUGGUGUACGAGUACAUGCCUAACCGGAGCGUGGACGAUCACCUGUCGGGCAGAGCAAUCGGGACGACUCUGUCAUGGCCUAUGCGGCUCAGGGUGGCUCUCGACGCCGCCAAGGGGCUCAAGUACCUGCACGAGGACAUGGAUUUUCAGAUAAUUUUUCGGGACCUCAAGACGUCAAACAUUCUGCUGGAUGAAGACUGGAACGCCAAGCUUUCAGACUUCGGCAUGGCUAGGGAAGGCCCGACGGAGGGCCUCACACACGUCUCCACAGCGGUGGUUGGCACCCUGGGGUACGCGGCACCGGAGUACAUCCAGACGGGGCGGCUGAACGCCAAGAGCGACAUCUGGAGCUACGGCGUGCUGCUCUACGAGCUCAUCACGGGGCGGCGGCCCAUCGACGGGGAGCGGCCGAGGGGCGAGCAGAAGCUGCUGGACUGGGUGAAGCCCUACAUCUCCGACACCAACAGGCUGCGGCUGAUCCUGGACCCCAAGCUGGAGGGCCGCUACAGCAUCAAGUCGGUGGCCAAGCUGGUCACCGUCGCCAACCGCUGCCUCGCCAGGCUGCCCAAGGCGCGCCCCAGGAUGGGGGAGGUGCUGGACAUGGUGCAGAAGGCCGUCGACGUCGACGGCGCCGCCGCCGGUGCUGGCGCACCUCCGCUGCACCACUACAGCAGCGGCGGCGGCAGGGAGGAGGGGGGCAGCUCGAAGCUGAGGCGGGAUGGCAAGAAAGGGUUUCAUGGCCAGUGGCGAGCUGGAAGAGGAAAAGGACCCCUCAUGUGCUGA